ACCAGACUCCUACGGGAGGCAGCAGUGGGGGAUAUUGCACAAUGGGGGGAACCCUGAUGCAGCGACGCCGCGUGGGUGAAGAAGCGCCUCGGCGCGUAAAGCCCUGUCAGCAGGGAAGAAAAUGACGGUACCUGAAGAAGAAGCCCCGGCUAACUACGUGCCAGCAGCCGCGGUAAUACGUAGGGGGCAAGCGUUAUCCGGAUUUACUGGGUGUAAAGGGGGCGCAGACGGCGAUGCAAGUCAGAUGUGAAAUCCGGGGGCUCAACCCCCGAACUGCAUUUGAAACUAUUGGUCUUGAGUAUCGGAGAGGCAGGCGGAAUUCCUAGUGUAGCGGUGAAAUGCGUAGAUAUUAGGAGGAACACCAGUGGCGAAGGCGGCCUGCUAGACGACAACUGACGGUGAGGCGCGAAAGCGUGGGGAGCAAACAGGAUUAGAUACCCUUGUAGGA
rnacentral:rRNA from 1 species